rnacentral:rRNA from 1 species
AUUGAACGCUGGCGGCAGGCCUAACACAUGCAAGUCGAGCGAGCGGCGGACGGGUGAGUAAUGGCUGGGAAACUGCCUGAUGGAGGGGGAGAACUACUGGAAACGGUAGCUAAUACCGCAUACCAUCGGAUGUGCCCAGAUGGGAUUAGCUAGUAGGUGGGGUAACGGCUCACCGAGGCGACGAUCCCUAGAUGGUCUGAGAGGAUGGCCAGGCACACUGGAACUGAGCCACGGUCCCGCCUCCUACGGUAGGCAGCAGGGGGGAAUAUUGCACAAUGGGCGCAAGCCUGAUGCAGCCAUGCCGCGUGUGUGAAGAAGGCCUUCGGGUUGUAAAGCACUUUCAGCGGGGAGGCGUUAACCGCAGAAGAAGCACCGGCUAACUCCGUGCCAGCAGCCGCGGUAAUUC